AAAAAACUGGCAAAAUCCCCAAAAAAGCCCAGGAAAAAAGGAAAAAAAAGCCCAAAAAAUCCGGGAAAAAAUGCCAAAAAACUGCAGGGAAAAAUCUCAAAAGUUGUGGGAAAAACUGGGAGAAAAUCCCCAAAAAAUCCAGGAGAAAAAGCCCCAAAAAUCCAGAAAAUAAUGCCAAAAACCUGUGGGAAAAAGGCCAAAAAACUGGGGGAAAAAUCCAGGAAAAAAGCCUCAAAAAUCCGGGAAAAAAUGCCAAAAAACUGCAGGGAAAAACCCCAAAAACUGUGGGGAGAAUCCCAAAAAUCUGGGGAAAAACUGGGGGAAAAACCCCCAAAAAAUUGGGGGAAAAUCCCAAAAAAAUCCAGGGAAAAAAGCUCCAAAAAUCCAGGGAAAAAAUCCCAAAAAACUGCAGAGAAAAACCUCAAAAGCUGUGGGAAAAAUCCCAAAAAAUCUGGGGAAAAACUGGGAGAAAAUCCCAAAAAAAAUCCAGGAAAAAAAGCCCCAAAAAUCCAGGAAAAAAUGCCAAAAAACUGCAGGGAAAAACCAGGAAAAACCUCAAAAAUUGUGGGAAAA
rnacentral:lncRNA from 1 species